rnacentral:tRNA from 1 species
GCCUGGGUGGCUCAGUAAGUUGAGCAUCUGCUUUCAGCUCAGGUCAUGAUCCCAGGGUCGUGGGAUUGAGCCCCGCAUCAGGCU